rnacentral:lncRNA from 1 species
CAUCACUGAAUUUUUCUGCAGCAAAUUGAAGACCAAAUGGGAAUUUCUGCCUCAAUCAGCAUCCAUUGGGAAUCAACUUGAUGUGAGGCGUUAUGCUAAAUAAGGCAAGUUAAAGAGAUAUAUACAGAUGACAUGAGCCCUGCUUCCAGGUUGCUGAGAAGGAGCACCUCACAGAGAUCAAACAGAACAUUUACGUACGAAAAAGAGUUCAAUAAUGGCAUGAGGAGGCAAUGUGAAUAAUUUCAGGCUGGAGAGUAGGAAAGUCAUUAAAAUAUAUUGAUUGCAAGCCC